UACAGAGGGGGCAAGCGUUGUUCGGAAUUACUGGGCGUAAAGAGCGUGUAGGCGGCCAGACAGGUCCGUUGUGAAAACUCGAGGCUCAACCUCGAGAUGUCGAUGGAAACCGUCUGGCUAGAGUCCGGAAGAGGAGUGUGGAAUUCCUGGUGUAGCGGUGAAAUGCGCAGAUAUCAGGAAGAACACCUAUGGCGAAGGCAGCACUCUGGGACGGUACUGACGCUGAGACGCGAAAGCGUGGGGAGCGAACAGG
rnacentral:rRNA from 1 species